CCUACGGGAGGCAGCAGUGAGGAAUAUUGGUCAAUGGCCGGAAGGCUGAACCAGCCAUGCCGCGUGAAGGUCAGUGCCCUAUGGGCGUUAAACUUCUUUUGUGCGGGAGCAAUAAUGGUCACGUGUGGCCAGACGAGAGUACCGUACGAAUAAGCAUCGGCUAACUCCGUGCCAGCAGCCGCGGUAAUACAGGGGAUGCAAGCGUUAUCCGGAUUUAUUGGGUUUAAAGGGUGCGUAGGCUGUGAGGUAAGUCAGCGGUGAAAUGCCCCCGCUCAACGGGGUGAAGUGCCAUUGAUACUGCCUGGCUGGAAUGCGGAUGCCGUGGGAGGAAUGUGUGGUGUAGCGGUGAAAUGCAUAGAUAUCACACAGAACACCGAUUGCGAAGGCAUCUCACGAAUCCGCGAUUGACGCUGAUGCACGAAAGCGUGGGUAUCAAACAGGAUUAGAUACCCGGGUAGUC
rnacentral:rRNA from 1 species